rnacentral:rRNA from 1 species
AAAGGUUCUCUCAGUACGGUCGGAAAUCGUACGUAGAGUGUAAAGGCAAAAGAGAGCUUGAUUGCAAGACAUACAGGUCGAGCAAGGAUGAAAAUCGGACUUAGUGAUCCGGUGGUUCUGCGUGGAAGGGCCAUCGCUCAACGGAUAAAAGCUACCCUGGGGAUAACAGGCUUAUCUCCCCCAAGAGUCCACAUCGACGGGGAGGUUUGGCACCUCGAUGUCGGCUCAUCACAUCCUGGGGCUGUAGUAGGUCCCAAGGGUUGGGCUGUUCGCCCAUUAAAGUGGUACGCGAGCUGGGUUCAGAACGUCGUGAGACAGUUCGGUCCCUAUCCGUCGCAGGCGUAGGAAAUUUGAGAAGACCUGUCCUUAGUACGAGAGGACCGGGAUGGACGUACCUCUGGUGUACCAGUUGUCCUGCCAAGGGCAUGGCUGGGUAGCUAUGUACGGAAUGGAUAAGCGCUGAAAGCAUCUAAGCGCGAAGCCAACUUCAAGAUAAGAUUUCCCACCGCAAGGGUAAGACCCCAGAAAGACUAUCUGGUUGAUAGGUCGAAGGUGUAAGUGCAGUAAUGUAUUUAGCUUAUCGAUACUAAUAGGUCGAGGACUUGACCAAUAUU